AAGACUCAAUUAAUAGUUAACAUCAAAAAUAUGGGUGGAAAAGUAGUUUCUCUUCUAAACAUUUUGGUCUUAUUUGUUCUCAUAAUGUCUCCCCAAGUAGCUUUUGCAAGAGAACUUGCGAAGACUACCAAUAUCAAAACCGAGACGAACGCCGUUAAACCAAUAGGGGGGGGCGCUCUUAACCCCCGGAGGGGAGUCAUUAAUCCAAUCCGGGACCCAGGUUACAAGCGCCGCGAAUGUAGUUACAAGAAUCGUUGUUACGUAAGACCACCUUCCGCCCAGCCCAAACCUUAAGAAUCCAAGCCCGAACACCCAAUGUUUGAAGAGUUGAAGUACAAUACUAUUAAAUAAUUUCAAAUAAAAUAUUUCCAAACUGUAAGGUGUUUAUUAUUAUGCCGAUGUAUGUCCUUUUUUAUUUUGGUUUAGUUAAAGCAAUAUUGUGGUCCUUGUUUAAGGUUUUAUGAGUUAUAUGAGUAUGUUUUAGGUUUA